AACGUGAAUAUGUGUUGCCAGCACUACGCUUUGUGUAGAUCGGCAUCAACUGUCGUCUCUCCAUCGACGUUGGUGUUUUCGCUCCUGGCAUAGAACAAAUAUCAACCCGUUGCUGGGCACCUAGCUUUGAGCAGUCGUCUUGACUGUCAUGAGAAGCUGGGAAUCAGCUGAGGUUACAUAA
rnacentral:snoRNA from 1 species